GGAGCCGUAGCUCAGUUCGGUUAGAGCGCCUGCCUGUCACGCAGGAGGUCGCGGGUUCGAGUCCCGUCGGCUCCGCCA
rnacentral:tRNA from 1 species